GGGUACCUGAGGUUGGAUUAAAAACGCUUGUAGAAAAGGCCCAUGGAGUUGGUGGAAUACUCCUUUAAUUCAUUGCCAUUUACUCAGCUGGGCCAGGGGCGCUUUAAUUAGGUCAGGUGGAAAUGUCCGACAGAUCUCAACUCCAUAAAAGGAGGAAAUUGCCAUCGCCUGAUCUCGCUGCUUUCUCUUCCUUAACUCCAUCUCACCCAGAAGUUCUGUGCGUCCAUGAAUCCACCACAGACUACCCAGUAAAUAUACCACUUUAUGGUUAAAGGAA